CGCCGCCCCUCCCACUACGCGCAUCACGCGCUGUGCGUCAACCCCAAAGCGUCAAAAACUGAAGCGUGGUCAAGCGCCUCUAGCGUCACUGACAUGAGAUGUUUAUCGCUUUGAAAUCACGUUCAAGAAGUCUCAUUCAGCACACAUCGCGAUACUUUCCAUCAGUUUGCAAGAGCCGCAGGUUGGGUGAGUUAUACAGUCUAUGGUGAGUAGUAGUAAAUAUGCUCUUUUAAUGCCUGUCCUAAAACGUAUUCUGUCUUCUUUAUUAAUCAGAUGAGCGCCUUAUGUUUACUCUCUGUAUUACAUCGGUCAUCCGAGGCUGUCUUUGAGUUUCAUUGAGUUUAACUAAAUGAACACAGCUGCUAACUGGUUAAACUCUAUCGGUCACGUGACGUGACGUGACGUGCCACAGACCUGGGAUCCGUUUUAUAUUAAUUUCAGGUUCAAAGAUCUGAAAAGACGUAAAGUAAGCAGUCACCCCAGUGGUGUUUGUGGAGAGGUAUUCCUUCAGAAAUGGAGAAGACAGAAAGCUGCAGAGGCAGGAUUGUUUGCAGAUAAUGCUGUUCUUCUUUUUCAGAAGUUUUUGGGGAGCCAACCCUCACAAACCUUCCUAAAAACUAAAAGAGCUAUUACUGAGUCUCAGCGACUCUUGCCACGAUCAGCUCUUCCCAGAAGAGAAGGAAGACCAAGGAAAUGAUUUGCUCAGGAUGAGAAAUGAAGAUGGUCAUCUUGUGCUCAAGCAAACAGAAGUCCUCUGAUGAUCUCAUCAACCAAAUGAGGGGUUUUGACCAAGUGAUGCUCUUGAAAGGAGGGAAAGAAGAGGAUGUGGUAAAUUGUCUUCAGAGAAAAAGCUUCUCAAAAGAUCUUAAAACAGCUUGAAGAAUGGUCUGGGAUCUUAGGACUGAGAGAUCUCACUGGCACCCAGUUAACCUCCAUAGAGAACAUUUAUCAGAAGCGCUGUCUGGGUAGGGCAAGAAACAUCAUCAAGGAUGCCUCUCACCCUAACCAUGGACCUUUCACCCUCCUUCCAUCCGGCAGGCGUUACAGGAGCCAACGCUCUCGAACUAGUAGACUCAGGAAGAGCUUCUUCCCCGAGGCUGUGACACUCCUGAACACCACACCACCAAUCUAACCUGCACCUGCUCUUUUACUGCACUGGUCACAGUACUUUACAUACAUGUAUUGCACUACUCAUAUUUUGCACAGACUGCACAUGGUUAAAUCCAUUACACUAUAAACUGUCUAAAGCUGUUACUGUACAAGCACAGUAAACUAUUUCUACAAUAAAUAUAAUUGCACUACUAUUAUUUUGCAUAUAAUAAAAAAGUUAAACUAUACUUUUGCACACUCAUUCAACUGUAUUUAUUACCACUGUUCUCAAGUUCCUGCUAUUCAUAAUGUAUAUAUAAUUCUUCUUUGCUCUGUUCAUAAUGUACAUACAAUCCCUACAUUAAAUUCAUAUUUAUAUUCUGUAUAUACUCUCAUCAAUAUUGUAUAUAGCAACUCCACUGUAAAUUCUGUAUAUCAUAGCUUUACUUACUCUGCACUUUUAUGUAUAUAAAACACUAUAUUCUUGCACUUCUGGUUAGAUGCUAACUGCAUUUCAUUAGCUCUGUACUUGUACUCUGCAUAAUGACAAUAAAGUUGAAUCUAAUCUAAUCUAAUCUAAUCUUCUGGCUGAGAACAAGCUACACCACAUCAGUGCUGGAUAUCAACCACAAACUGUUUCCAGACACGAGAGAAGAUCACGAUGAAACCAGUUUAGAUGUGAUGAUGGGAAUCAUUAUUUUCUGAAACAGUAUCCAAUGUCUUAUAUGUAUCACAUGAUCUGUAUCACAGU